ACGUGAGCUGGGUUUAAAACGUCGUGAGACAGUUUGGUCCCUAUCUGCCGUGGGCGUUGGAUAUUUGAAGGGGGCUGCUCCUAGUACGAGAGGACCGGAGUGGACGAACCUCUGGUGUACCGGUUGUCACGCCAGUGGCAUCGCCGGGUAGCUAUGUUCGGAAGAGAUAACCGCUGAAAGCAUCUAAGCGGGAAACUCGCCUUAAGAUGAGAUAUCCCUGGGGACUAGAUCCCCUUGAAGGGUCGUUCGAGACCAGGACGUUGAUAGGUCAGGUGUGUAAGCGCAGUAAUGCGUUCAGCUAACUGAUACUAAUUGCCCGUAAGGCUUGAUCCUA
rnacentral:rRNA from 1 species